AGUGAACGCUGGCGGUAGGCCUAACACAUGCAAGUCGAACGGCGGCACAGUAAGAGCUUGCUCUUACGGGUGGCGAGUGGCGGACGGGUGAGGAAUACAUCGGAAUCUACUUUUUCGUGGGGGAUAACGUAGGGAAACUUACGCUAAUACCGCAUACGACCUACGGGUGAAAGCAGGGGAUCUCCGGACCUUGCGCGAUUGAAUGAGCCGAUGUCGGAUUAGCUAGUUGGCGGGGUAAAGGCCCACCAAGGCGACGAUCCGUAGCUGGUCUGAGAGGAUGAUCAGCCACACUGGAACUGAGACACGGUCCAGACUCCUACGGGAGGCAGCAGUGGGGAAUAUUGGACAAAGGGCGCAAGCCUGAUCCAGCCAUACCGCGUGGGUGAAGAAGGCCUUCGGGUUGUAAAGCCCUUUUGUUGGGAAAGAAAAGCAGCAGGUUAAUACCCCGCUGUUCUGACGGUACCCAAAGAAUAAGCACCGGCUAACUUCGUG
rnacentral:rRNA from 1 species